UACGUAGGGUGCGAGCGUUGUCCGGAAUUAUUGGGCGUAAAGAGCUCGUAGGCGGUUUGUCGCGUCGGCCGUGAAAACUUGGGGCUUAACUCCAAGCUUGCGGUCGAUACGGGCAGACUUGAGUUCGGCAGGGGAGACUGGAAUUCUCGGUGUAGCGGUGAAAUGCGCAGAUAUCAGGAGGAACACCGGUGGCGAAGGCGGGUCUCUGGGCCGAUACUGACGCUGAGGAGCGAAAGCGUGGGGAGCGAACAGG
rnacentral:rRNA from 1 species